UACGGAGGGGACUAGCGUUGUUCGGAAUUACUGGGCGUAAAGCGCACGUAGGCGGAUUUGUAAGUCAGGGGUGAAAUCCUGGAGCUCAACUCCGAAACUGCAUUCGAUACUGCGGUGCUUGAGGACUGGAGAGGAGACUGGAAUUCAUGGUGUAGCAGUGAAAUGCGUAGAGAUCAUGAGGAAGACCAGUGGCGAAGGCGGGUCUCUGGACAGUUCCUGACACUGAGACACGAAGGCCAGGGGAGCAAACGGG
rnacentral:rRNA from 1 species